rnacentral:rRNA from 1 species
GACGAACGCUGGCGGCGUGCUUAACACAUGCAAGUCGAACGGAAAGGCCCUGCUGUUGUGGGGUGCUCGAGUGGCGAACGGGUGAGUAACACGUGAGUAACCUGCCCUUGACUUUGGGAUAACUUCAGGAAACUGGGUCUAAUACCGGAUAGGAGCUCCUGCUGCAUGGUGGGGGUUGGAAAGUUUCGGCGGUUGGGGAUGGACUCGCGGCUUAUCAGCUUGUUGGUUGGGUAGUGGCUUACCAAGGCUUUGACGGGUAGCCGGCCUGAGAGGGUGACCGGCCACAUUGGGACUGAACUACGGCACAGACUAGUAGCGGAGGCAGCAGUGGGGAAGAGUGCACAAUGGGCGGAAGCCUGAUGCAGCAACGCCGCGUGCGGGAUGACGGCCUUCGUGUUGGAAUGCACUUUCGCCUGUGACGAAGCGUGAGUGACGGUAAUGGGUAAAGAAGCACCGGCUAACUACGUG